rnacentral:rRNA from 1 species
UAGGGAAUCUUCCACAAUGGACGCAAGUCUGAUGGAGCAACGCCGCGUGAGUGAAGAAGGUUUUCGGACCGUAAAGCUCUGUUGUUGGUGAAGAAGGAUAGAGGUAGUAACUGGCCUUUAUUUGACGGUAAUCAACCAGAAAGUCACGGCUAACUACGUGCCAGCAGCCGCGGUAAUCGUAGGUGGCAAGCGUUGUCCGGAUUUAUUGGGCGUAAAGCGAGCGCAGGCGGAAGAAUAAGUCUGAUGUGAAAGCCCUCGGCUUAACCGA